UACGUAGGGUGCAAGCGUUGUCCGGAAUUAUUGGGCGUAAAGAGCUCGUAGGCGGUCUGUUGCGUCCGCUGUGAAAACCUCGGGGCUUAACCCCGAGCCUGCAGUGGAUACGGGCAGACUAGAGGUAGGUAGGGGAGAAUGGAAUUCCCGGUGUAGGCGGUGAAAUGCGCAGAUAUCGGGAAGGAACACCGGUGGCGAAGGCGGUUCUCUGGGGCCGUUACCUGGACGCUGAGGAGCGAA
rnacentral:rRNA from 1 species